UGAAGUGUGGACGCCAGUCUGCAUGGAGCCGACCUUGAAAUACCACCCUUUAAUGUUUGAUGUUCUAACGUGGACCCGUGAUCCGGGUUGCGGACAGUGUCUGGUGGGUAGUUUGACUGGGGCGGUCUCCUCCUAAAGAGUAACGGAGGAGCACGAAGGUUGGCUAAUCCUGGUCGGACAUCAGGAGGUUAGUGCAAUGGCAUAAGCCAGCUUGACUGCGAGCGUGACGGCGCGAGCAGGUGCGAAAGCAGGUCAUAGUGAUCCGGUGGUUCUGAAUGGAAGGGCCAUCGCUCAACGGAUAAAAGGUACUCCGGGGAUAACAGGCUGAUACCGCCCAAGAGUUCAUAUCGACGGCGGUGUUUGGCACCUCGAUGUCGGCUCAUCACAUCCUGGGGCUGAAGUAGGUCCCAAGGGUAUGGCUGUUCGCCAUUUAAAGUGGUACGCGAGCUGGGUUUAGAACGUCGUGAGACAGUUCGGUCCCUAUCUGCCGUGGGCGCUGGAGAACUGAGGGGGGCUGCUCCUAGUACGAGAGGACCGGAGUGGACGCAUCACUGGUGUUCGGGUUGUCAUGCCAAUGGCACUGCCCGGUAGCUAAAUGCGGAAGAGAUAAGUGCUGAAAGCAUCUAAGCACGAAACUUGCCCCGAGAUGAGUUCUCCCUGAGACUUUAGGUCUCCUGAAGGAACGUUGAAGACGACGACGUUGAUAGGCCGGGUGUGUAAGCGCAGCGAUGCGUUGAGCUAACCGGUACUAAUGAACCGUGAGGCUUAACCUU
rnacentral:rRNA from 1 species